rnacentral:rRNA from 1 species
AACGAACGCUGGCGGCAUGCCUAACACAUGCAAGUCGAACGCGUGUAGCAAUACACGAGUGGCGGACGGGUGAGUAACGCGUGGGAACCUGCCCAAUGGUAGGGAAUAACUGCGGGAAACUGCAGCUAAUACCCUAUGCUCCCUACGGGGGAAGGAUUUAUCGCCAUUGGAGGGGCCCGCGUCGGAUUAGCUAGUUGGCGGGGUAACGGCCCACCAAGGCUACGAUCCGUAGCUGGCUGAGAGGAUGAUCAGCCACACUGGGACUGAGAUACGGCCCAGACUCCUACGGGAGGCAGCAGUGGGGAAUAUUGGACAAUGGGGGAAACCCUGAUCCAGCAAUGCCGCGUGAGUGAAGAAGGCCUUAGGGUUGUAAAGCUCUUUCGGCGGGGACGAUGGUGACGGUACCCGCAGAAGAAGCCCCGGCUAACUUCGUGCCAGCAGCCGCCGCCGUAA